rnacentral:rRNA from 1 species
CCUCUACGGGACGCAGCAGUGGGGAAUAUUGCACAAUGGGGGGAACCCUGAUGCAGCGACGCCGCGUGGGCGAUGGAGUAUUUCGGUAUGUAAAGCCCUAUCGGCAGGGAAGAAACUGACAGUACCUGACUAAGAAGCAUCGGCUAACUCCGUGCCAGCAGCCGCGGUAAUACGGAGGAUGCGAGCGUUAUCCGGAUUUAUUGGGUUUAAAGGGUGCGCAGGCGGCACGGCAAGCCGGCGGUCAAAUCGCGGGGCUCAACCCCGCCCAGCCGUCGGAACUGCCGGGCUAGAGUGGGCGAGAAGGG